UUUUGGAGGCAGCCCUAACCAUGCAAGUCGAGCGGAGAGGGGGCUUGCUCCUGGAUUCAGCGGCGGACGGGUGAGUAAUGCCUAGGAAUCUGCCUGGUAGUGGGGGAUAACGUCCGGAAACGGGCGCUAAUACCGCAUACGUCCUGAGGGAGAAAGUGGGGGAUCUUCGGACCUCACGCUAUCAGAUGAGCCUAGGUCGGAUUAGCUAGUUGGUGGGGUAAAGGCCUACCAAGGCGACGAUCCGUAACUGGUCUGAGAGGAUGAUCAGUCACACUGGAACUGAGACACGGUCCAGACUCCUACGGGAGGCAGCAGUGGGGAAUAUUGGACAAUGGGCGAAAGCCUGAUCCAGCCAUGCCGCGUGUGUGAAGAAGGUCUUCGGAUUGUAAAGCACUUUAAGUUGGGAGGAAGGGCAGUAAGUUAAUACCUUGCUGUUUUGACGUUACCAACAGAAUAAGCACCGGCUAACUUCGUGCCAGCAGCCGCGGUAAUACGAAGGGUGCAAGCGUUAAUCGGAAUUACUGGGCGUAAAGCGCGCGUAGGUGGUUCAGCAAGUUGGAUGUGAAAUCCCCGGGCUCAACCUGGGAACUGCAUCCAAAACUACUGAGCUAGAGUACGGUAGAGGGUGGUGGAAUUUCCUGUGUAGCGGUGAAAUGCGUAGAUAUAGGAAGGAACACCAGUGGCGAAGGCGACCACCUGGACUGAUACUGACACUGAGGUGCGAAAGCGUGGGGAGCAAACAGGAUUAGAUACCCCUGGUAGUCCACGCCGUAAACGAUGUCGACUAGCCGUUGGGAUCC
rnacentral:rRNA from 1 species